GAUGUUGUUCAAGUAGACACUUGGGUAGCUGCAUCGGGGAAAAAUGGUAUGCGCAGAGAUUGGCUCCUCCGCGAUAGUAAUACUGGGGAUAUAUUGAUGAGAGCUUCCAGCCAAUGGGUGAUGAUGAAUAAGGAGACGAGGAGAUUAUCUAAAAUACCAGAUGAGGCUCGGGCUGAAAUUGAAGGUUAUUUUGUUGACUCACCUCCUGUUAUUGAUGAUGACAGCAGGAAGCUGCCAAAACUUGACGAGACAACAGCAGACUACACUCGAACUGGUUUAACUCCAAGAUGGAGUGAUUUAGAUGUCAACCAGCAUGUUAAUAAUGUCAAGUACAUUGGCUGGAUUCUUGAGAGUGCACCCAUGCAAAUACUAGAGGGUUGUGAGCUUGCUGCCAUGACUCUGGAGUACCGCAGGGAGUGCAGAAAGGACAGUGUGCUUCAGUCUCUUACCUCUGUACUCGACAAGGAAGUCGGUGACUUCACCGACUUUGGCAAUGUCGAGUGUCAACACGUCCUUCGACUUGAAAAUGGCGGAGAGGUUGUUAAGGGACGGACUGAGUGGAGGCCGAAACUUGUCAAUGGAAUAGGGACCCUAGGCGGAUUCCCAGCCGACUUCGCCUGAGCUAUCUAUACGUCACAAUCCUUUGUGAAUCCUCCAACUUGUGCUCUUUGAUCUUUAUAUAUAUAUAUAUCCCCUCUCUCUAUAUCUAUAUAUCUAUCUAUAUAUAUAUAAAAUAUAUAUGUUUCCUCCUUACCUCUUUCCCCAUUUUUUUCUUCUUUUUACCCUCUUGCCUCUUUUCUUUCCCCUUAGAUAUUAUUAGUGAAAUUAUCAGUGAUUGUAAGUAUAGUCCUUGUGUCUAAUGUCUUUAUUUCUUUUAAGCAUUAUUGCCCUAUACUCCAAGAACUUUCUUAUCUUUUGUCCCCUUCACCUUGCUGGCAAUUAAACUUGCCCCUAGAAAUGACAUUGCUGAACUUGACAGCAAAUGGAACAUUUUUUUAUUUGUGGCAAUUCUUUUCUUCAUCUGUAAUGCAUUAUAUUUGUUCUUAUUGUCAUGUGGUCCAAUCUCAUUUUUGUCAUUAAUUUAGUGUGUGGAAGUUUCCUCUUUGUACUUCCUCCUUCCCCACACG
rnacentral:misc_RNA from 1 species